AUCCCUGGGCCUGGGCCUACCUAGGUGAAGACAGGCAUUUUUGUUUUCCUGCCCGGAUGUUGCAUUUCCCAAGACCACCCUGGCCUGCCAUGCCCUCAUCCUGUGCCUUUAAAAACCCCCGAGACCCUGGCAGGCAGACGCACAAGCAGCUGGACAUUGAGAGGAGCAUAUAGGCAGAGAAUACAGGGGCUGCUGGAUGUCGAAAGGAACGCACCAGCAUAGGAGCACACCGGCAUGCUGGCAGGCCAUUGACCAGCGGAAGAAUGCAGAGUUUGUCGCGGGAGGUCAGAGAAGAGUCAGGCCGCCAUACCUGACUCCAGGAGAAAACCGUCUCCCUUCUGGUUCCCCCGUCUGCCGAGAGCUACUUCCACUCAAUAAAACUUUCCACUCAUUCUUCAAGCCCACGUGUGAUCCAAUUCUUCCCGUACACCAAGAAACAGGGUCUUGCUCUGUUGCCCUGGCUGGAGUGCAAUGGUAUGAUCAUAGCUCACAGUAGCCUUGAACUCCUGGGCCCAAGCCAUCCUCCUACCUCAGCAACCAGAGUAGCUGGGAUUACAGGCGAAUGCCACCACACCUGGGUUUAUCAAUUUAUAUUUGGGAUAUGGAGACUGGAAGAUGCAAAUUAGGAUAAUACACCAAGCAGAUGAAUUGGAAAAAUGAAUGUAAUUUGACAUAUGUCUUGAGUCUGGUUGGCUUCUGAGGAACUUGUGUGCAUCUCAUCAGUAUGCAUCUUAAGAACUGAAAUGACCCUACUUCAGCAUUGUGAGAAGACAUGCAUUCUCUUCGUAUAAAUAAUGUGGAUCUUACAUGUAAAGUAUUAUAAAGAUUAGCUGUUUAACAACUUAAAUAAGCUUGUGAAUAAUAAAUUAAUAACAAUGUUAUGCUAAUACGUAACUAUGAUAUUUGCUGAACAAAAUAAAUUUGCCUACUUUGGAAGCAGAUUGGGUGGUUUAAUAUAUCAGCAAAAGAGUGUUUUUAAAAAAUAUCAAAGUUCUGUUAAUCAAAACGUUUAUUGUAGGACAGUUAGUAAUGUUUUGUUUGCCAACUUAUAUUACAAAGUCUCUGUCUUAAGUGUUUCCUUGCAAAUAAAAUGACAAUACUGCCUUACAUUUUAUUACUUUAGAGUUUGCAAAAUAUCUUCAUUAUAAUAUUUCAUUUAGUAGACAUGCCUAUGGGAACAUUACUUCCAGAAUUAAAAACAUUAUUUUUGUUUUGGUAUAUUUUUAAACUACAAAUGAUAGAAAGGCAAGUAAAUGUAAGUUUUUCUCUAGUUAUUUGUUCAAAUGCUAAUUUAAAACAUUUGUACAUUUCUAAUACAAACAUUCCUUAUUUGAGAAAAAAUGGAUUUCUUAAAAACAAAAUGCAUUUUAAAGCAGAGAGACAGGGCAUUGAGCUGAAAAUGGUGGCUGGAAGUUGGGAUCUGUAAGAGAAGUUGAAUGUGCCCCGAGGCAUAAAGCUGCUAAUUUUGUUUUAUUGGAUUUUACUGUAGCUAUUAAUAUAUUUUGCUGGAGAUUUAUGUGAUCAAUUUAUCUUAUGGCCAGAACUAAUUCCCUUAGUAUAUUUUAUUAGAAUAUGUGACUUUUUCUAAAUUUAGCUUUAUUUUUCAUAUUUUCCAUAAAUGGCAAAGAUUCUAUGUUUCCAGACAUGUUAAGUAUUGCAAGAAUUAUUGGAGCACCUAAAGAUAAAUAAUAUCAAAAUAGUGUCAUUGUUUCCCUUAGUUUCUCCUUCUCCCCCACAAAUAAACCAAGAGGUAUUUAGUUAUACUAUUGCAUGUCUCUAGCUUUAUUGGAUUCUUCCAUGAAAGAAAAAUGGAUUACAUUUUUGGUUGUGUGGCCCUCGUUGCCCUAUUGCACUUUUGAUAAUAUUUGCCUGUGACAAGUAGUUAUUUUUCAUUACCACAUUCAAUCAUGGGUAAUAAAAUAUUUUAAUAAUGGUGAAUGUGAAGUUAAUUAAUAACCCGCAGGUAUGGCAGCUAGACAGGAUUGCUCUCCAUCUCAAACACAAGGAAAACAAUUCCAUCGGUAGUUAUAAAUUUGCAUAUGAAUGUCAAAUAUAUGAGGUUUUGAAUAAAAAUCAUUUCUGAGUAAAA
rnacentral:lncRNA from 1 species